rnacentral:lncRNA from 1 species
AGAAGAGGAAACUGAGGCUCAGAAAAGUGAAGAGACUUUCCCAAGAUAACAUGUUUGAGAAGGAUCUCAAACUUUGGGAGCCAAUCCCAAGCAGCCUGGCUGCACUCAAGAACUCACUGCCUUGUUGAAGAGGCAAGAUACAUAUUCAAGAAAAAUACGAUGAAUAACAAAGGUGAAGAAACCAAGACUCAGAAAUUAACUUGGCUGAAUAUCACCCAGCUAAAAAGUAGCAGAGAAAGGAUCCACAUUCUUGAUCACAGUGCUCUGCCAUCUCCUUUCCCCAAAGCAAGUGGUCUCUUUUAUACAUAGCAACUUUAAAAUCUGAAUUUUAGGAAGAAUUCAUGGCCACAUUAAUUUUUGUCUAUCCCACUUCUAUCAUAGACAUCCAGUGGAGAGGAAUUGGCAAAGAGGCUGCUAUAAGAAUGGAAGGAAAAGCCACCCCAAAUUACAGAAAUCACAAUGAGCUCAUCUUUCCCCUCAUUCAGACAGCAACUGACUGGCAAGGCAUCUCUGCCCAAGAAAGAGUUGACACAGAAGAGUAGACAUAAUAAAGUAGUCCGAUUCCUGGCUCAUGAGUCUUCAAGUCUUUCCCAGAAUAAGAAUCGCUAGAGAUUUGACCUAUGCAAAGCCAUGAUUUUAUUACGUUUCCUAGGUGAUUCUGAUACACACUAGUUUGAGAGGCACUCUUGUGAUGCUGAUAAAAGGUAUGUGGAAAAAAGUUGAGUGAGGACAAGUUGUCCUAUAUUUAGAAAUGCUCCCUUAAUAUUAAGGAAGAAGAGAGUAAGAAGAGACUCAAAGUGCUCAGAUAGUAUUAGGAGCUGGAGAAAGAAGACUACUCCUCAGCCAUCCCACUCUCAGGACGAUUUGGGGGGUAUGCAGCACCCCCAGGUAGGCUAGGGCAUCUGAGAGCAGCAGGCAUUGCCCCAGCCCUUCCCCGGGUUUACCUUGUAAAAAGGUGGACCAGAGCCCCAUCCUUCUGAGACUCCAGUGCUGUAGCAUGGCGUGGGAGCAGAAGCAUAUCCAUUUACAGGUGCGCCCUGUAAAUGGGGUUUCCUAAAUUUCAGAAUGGUGUGAUAGCAGUAGAAGGGCUCUUACAGGCUGGAGGCCUGAG